GGUGUGGGCACUGACAGGUGCAGGUAGUUGUUGGAGUUGCCCAUUGUACUGUAGGGUAGGGCCUGCAUUUGAUUGG